CGCCUCUUGAAUCACAUAAGAGGUCCAGCCUGCCCGGUGACCAAGUUUAACGGCCGCGGUAUCCUAACCGUGCGAAGGUAGCGUAAUCACUUGUUCUUUAAAUGAGGACUAGUAUGAAUGGCAUCACGAGGGUUAUACUGUCUCCUUUUUCCAAUCAAUGAAACUGAUCUCCCCGUGAAGAAGCGGGGAUAUACAUAUAAGACGAGAAGACCCUAUGGAGCUUUAGACUAUGUAACACUGGCUUAUACUACCGCCUCAUUUCAGAAUAAUUAUAAUUACCCGAGCCCCCUGUCUACUAGUCUUGGGUUGGGGUGACCAUGGAGCAAAAAUUAACCUCCACGAUGAACGGAACCAUUCCUGAGCCAAAAGCUACGACUUUAAGCACUAACAAACUAACAUUAAUUGACCCAAUAUUUUGAUCAACGAACCAAGUUACCCUAGGGAUAACAGCG
rnacentral:rRNA from 1 species